GGCGUGCUUAACACAUGCAAGUCGAACGCGAAAGUUUUCUUCGGAAAGCGAGUAGAGUGGCGCACGGGUGAGUAACGCGUAAGUAAUCUACCCUGGUAUCUGGGAUAACCCACCGAAAGGUGUGCUAAUACCGGAUACGCUGAUUUAUCAGGAAAGGUGGCCUCUUCAUGAAAGCUACUGUACCAGGAGGAGCUUGCGUACCAUUAGCUAGUUGGUAGGGUAAUGGCCUACCAAGGCGACGAUGGUUAGCGGGUCUGAGAGGAUGAUCCGCCACACUGGAACUGGAACACGGACCAGACUCCUACGGGAGGCAGCAGUGAGGAAUAUUGCGCAAUGGGGGAAACCCUGACGCAGCGACGCCGCGUGGAUGAUGAAGGCCUUCGGGUCGUAAAAUCCUGUCAGAUGGAAAGAAAUGCAUAUUUAUUAAUACUGAAUAUGUUUGACGGUACCAUCAAAGGAAGCACCGGCUAACUCCGUGCCAGCAGCCGCGGUAAUAC
rnacentral:rRNA from 1 species